rnacentral:rRNA from 1 species
AUUGAACGCUGGCGGCAUGCCUUACACAUGCAAGUCGAACGGCAGCACGGGAGCAAUCCUGGUGGCGAGUGGCGAACGGGUGAGUAAUAUAUCAGAACGUGCCCAGUAGUGGGGGAUAACUGCUCGAAAGAGCAGCUAAUACCGCAUACGACCUGAGGGUGAAAGGGGGGGAUCGCAAGACCUCUCGCUAUUGGAGCGGCCGAUAUCAGAUUAGCUAGUUGGUGGGGUAAAGGCCCACCAAGGCAACGAUCUGUAGUUGGUCUGAGAGGACGACCAGCCACACUGGGACUGGGACACGGCCCAGACUCCUACGGGAGGCAGCAGUGGGGAAUUUUGGACAAAGGGCGCAAGCCUGAUCCAGCAAUGCCGCGUGCAGGAAGAAGGCCUUCGGGUUGUAAACUGCUCUUGUCAGGGAAGAAAUCCUCUAGGUUAAUACCCUUGGGGGGAUGACGGUACCUGAAGAAUAAGCACCGGCUAACUACGUGCCAGCCGCCGCGGUAAAAC